GGAGGGAAACGUGUCACCAGCUCGGCUCCGGGAGCUCCGCUGCCGCCGCGUUUGUGGACUCGCGCCGGAGAGGACUUGAGUCUGGACCGGACCCCGCGGAGGGCAGAGCCGGGAGAGGAGGUAGAGAAGGCGGCUGAGCGGAGCGCGGCGGCGAGAGCCAUCCAGGUCGCUCACUGCUCUCGGGUGUUGGCUAACGUUGUGGUUUUGAGAAAGCCUGAGGGCCAGAAAGCAGUCCUGGGAGAAGCCCUCUGGGUGGGCAGUCGGAACCUUCAGGUCCAGAGGAGAAGCCGUCCCCUCACCUGGACUUAUGACCCGUGGCUUCGCCCCCAGCCUGCCUGUCGAGUUCCCCAAGAUGGGCUCUUUCCGCAGGCCCAGACCGCGCUUCAUGAGCUCCCCGGCGCUCAGCGACCUGCCCCGCUUCCAGGCAGCCCGCCAGGCUCUGCAGCUGAGCUCCAACUCGGCCUGGAACAGUGUCCAGACUGCCGUGAUCAAUGUCUUUAAAGGGGGCGGCUUGCAAAGCAAUGAGCUCUACACACUGAACGAAAACAUCAGGCGGCUGCUGAAGAGUGAACUUGGAUCGUUCAUUACAGACUAUUUUCAGAACCAGCUUCUAGCAAAAGGACUGCUGUUUGUGGAGGAGAAGAUAAAGCUGUGUGAAGGUGAAAAUCGCAUUGAGGUUCUGGCUGAAGUCUGGGACCACUUCUUCACUGAGACUCUCCCCACCCUGCAGGCAAUAUUCUAUCCAGUUCAGGGCCAGGAGCUGACCAUCCGCCAGAUCUCCCUGCUGGGCUUCCGCGACCUGGUCCUGCUGAAGGUGAAGCUGGAUGACUUGCUGCUGCUGGCCCAGCCCCAGCUGCCCUCGUCCAUCGUCCAGAUGUUGCUCAUCCUGCAGAGUGUUCACGAGCCCACAGGCCCAAGCGAGGGUUAUUUGCAGCUGGAGGAGCUGGUGAAGCAGGUGGUUUCUCCUUUCCUCGGCAUCAGCGAGGACCGCAGCGUCUCAGGCCCCACGUACACACUGGCCAGGCGCCACUCCAGGGCCCGGCCCAAGGUCACGCUCUUGAACUACGCCUGCCCGAUGACCACCGUCAGCCGGCCCCUGAACGAGAUGGCCCUGACCCCUCUGACGGAGCAAGAGGGGGAGGCCUACCUAGAGAAGUGUGGCAGUGUCCGGCGACACACGGUGGCCAAUGCCCACUCGGACAUCCAGCUGCUGGCCAUGGCCACCAGGAUGCACUCGGGCUUAGGGGAGGAGCCUGGCGGCGAGGACAAGUGCCUGCUUCUGCCACCCAGCUUCCCGCCGCCCCACCGGCAGUGCUCCAGUGAGCCCAACAUCACUGACGGCCCCGACGAGCCGGAGCAGGUGGCAGCGGGCAGCCAGGAGGACUCAGAGCUGAACUGUGCAUCCCUCAGCUGAAUGCCCGCCUCUGGGGCCUCCCAGAUCCUGCCUGGCCACCAGGAUGAGGGCGGCUUCAUCCCUGAGGACCGCCGAGCGGAGCUCUUCCUUUGGGCAAUGCCGCCUUAUGCCUUUCCAGACCCCAGACUGAUGAACCAGGGUUGAAAACUACACGCCUGCUAAAGAAGACAGUAACCAUCCCAGUUAACCAAGGUUACGCAUUACCAGAAAUUUCCUUUGGACGUGAGACUCAGACCUGCAGACAUUCGGAGUGAUUCUUCUCACCUCCACCUAAGGAAACUGUAGUAUUUCAAGUAAUUUUGGUGAUUGUUCCUCAGCAUUCUUGAAAUUAUGAGCAAAGUGUACUAGGUUCUUGUCAGCAUCCCCAAGAGACACUGGGUGCUAUUUAUGGUUGUUUAGUCAAUGACUUCAAAACCUAAAAGAAGUAUAAGACAAUUGCCUACUUCUUCAGUCUACCUUCAGAAGUAUGCCCUUCUCACCAAGUCACUCAUUAAAUUGGUUCUUAAUGUCCUUGGUUUUUCUGGCCUAAGUCUAACCACCUUUGAGAAGAAUACUAAGCAAUGUAAAUAUCUUGAACCUAACCGUCUCCUGAAUUCUUUCAUCUUCUCAGGAACGCAUAACUUUUAACAAAUACCUAACUUCAGUCUGAUAUCAGUUAUAUAUCUCAGAUAGCUUUGUCUGGGGUCCAAGUUAUGAGGUCAUUCCAUUCUCUGUAAACUGAACUAGGAUCAAGUCAAUUGCCUGCCAACAGAAACUUUUGCUGCCCACUCCAAAGCAGUUUUGAGAAGAAGGGCUCAAUAGGUGGAAAUAACAUACGGCUUCUGGUUCUGGCCAUAGGGGAAUGGCUUGUAUCAGAUGAAUCUUUUUGCCAAAAUAAUUAUAAAACCUGGAUAAAAUAUAUAAAGCAACUGUUCAAAGGAAUUGGAGAGCACCCAGUGCAGGCAGGAUCUGAACUGCUAUGAUCCCUAAGAGAAGGGAAACAAAUGAGGCAAAACUUCACAUUCAGCCUGGUUUUUCCAAAGGGUUUUUCCCAAAAUCACUGAUAGAGGUGGGAGUAAGAGGGAGUGGGUGACAGCAGCAAGCAGCAGUCUUACUGUGCUGUGAUCAGAGGUUCACGUUGCCAGAGUAGCUGGAACUUGAAGGGAGAAUGAUGGAGAGGACUAAAUGGGAAAUCUGCAUACUAGGUCCCCUCAAGUUGUUGGCUCACUCCUAAGUUGAGCAUGCAGUGAGAACUCCAAGAAACCCAGCAGAAAACAGCAACUGGGACCCUAAAGGGCUGAACAGAUUUCAGCUGUUACAGAAUGCUGAGGAGACAGAGGUUCAAGUCCCACCAAAGUGGAGGGGCUUUGGCAAACAUCCUAGGCUUUUGGUUGAGGCCCAAGAAAGGCCACAUUCUGGGAGUAAGGGUCAUGACCAAUAGCAAGAUGGUAGACUAAACUACAAUGAUAUCAGAAAUUACAUCAAAUGUAAAUGAACUAAACACGCCAAUGAAAAGGCAGAGAAGGUCAGACCAGAUUAAAAAGUAACAAUAUGCUGUUUAUAAGAGACACACUUUAAAUCUUAGAACAGAGAAUGAUUGGAAAUAAAAGGUUGGAAGCAUAUACCACAUAAAUGUUAGCAAAAGAAAUUUGGCCUUGCUAAUUUAGAAUCGUGCAAAUUUCAUAAUGAUAAAAGGUCAAUUCAAAAGAAAUGUAUUAUAAUACGUAAGUUAUCAUUUAUUGGUCACCAACUAUAUGCCAUGCACCAGCCUAAGUAUUUUACAUUCAUUGUUUUGUGUAAUCCUCUGAGAAAUUUUAUGAAGUAAAAUGUAUCAUCCUCAUUAGAUGAGGAAAUUGAAACUCAGAGGAUUGAGCAAUUUUCCUAAGAUCACGUAACCAGAAAAUCAGAGAGACAAGAUUUAAAUCUAGUUUGGUCUGACCUCUUGCCAAAGAGAUUUUAAUCACUGCUCUGCUUUCUAAGCACCAUAUUGCUUGUGGUAUGCUCGCUUGAACCAGUUGGAGAGGCCCCUGAAAGCACAGGAGUACAUUGUAACCUAAGGGGAAGAUAAUUCUGUGGGGAUUCCUGGAAUUCUGGACUGGGAACCCUUCAAGAACUAAGAUCCUAAGAUAGUCUGUUCGACUCUUACACACACACACACACAUUCUGUAUAAAUGUUCUACUCUUCUAUGCACAUGAUCCCUGAAAGGUACAGAGACCUUCCAGUUCAUGGACUACUGUGGCCUGACUUCUUUGAAUUUCUCAGUCCAAAUUCUCAAGAAUCUGGUCUAGUUCAAGAAUCAUGUAUCCAUCCUUGAUUCAGUCAAUAGGCUGCUGCUAAGGAGUGCCAUCUCCCAGGGUUUCAGAUUUAACUCUGUUAAAUCCUUCCCUUGGAAUUUAAGGGGAGGUUCAGCAGUUCUCAGGGUAAAGGAGAGACUCGUCUCUGAAUCCAUGCAUAUGUGGGUAGUGGGAACCAGAGCAGGAAAACCCCAGAUAAUCCUUCCCAACUCAAUUCUAGCACUGGUCUUCCCCCAGAUGCUAAGAUGCCUGGAGGGGAGGAUGGGUGGCAGAGCUAAUAAGGGGCCACACCAGAAUGUGGACCUAGGGUAGUCCAGCUCCAGAGGCCUUGCUUUUAACCACUAUGAUAAACUCUUCUUCCACUCUUUGGAAAAUGUAAUCUAAAUUACUAAACCAAAUUACAGUCAUUGAGAAAAGUGAGAGCUUGCUGGGUGGCCCCUCAAAGCCCCCGAUUUUCCACAGGGAAGUUGUUGCACUGGAGGGAAAUUCCCUCUUGAGGCUCCCCACCAGUGUGUGAGAGCUGCCCUGAGGCUCGGCCCCCCAAAUUGCCCCCAGAGAGCCGGUGAGCACAGGAAGAGAAUUAACUCCACAGGGAAACCAGGGCCACUAUCUGUAGUUUCAUUCUCUUUCUCCUCUGUCCUGCUCCACUGCAGACAGACCUUUUUCUAUGCCCAGCAAAACUAGCUGGUGACCUUUGACAAAUUCCUUAACCUCUCUUUUCUUCCACAAAAUGCAACUAAUUAUGCCUACCUUGCAAGAUUAGAGAAAAAAAAACAUAUAUAUGUGCACGCACACACAUAUACACACAUAUAUACAUACUUAACAUACACACACAUGCAUGCAUACAGAUGGCAUAGAAAAGGUCCAGGCUGUCUCCGGGUUAGGUAAAAUCAUGAGUGUUCAUAGCAGCCUUCUGUGUAAUGGCCAAAAACUGUAAACCAAAACAUCUGUCGAUUGAUGAAUGGCGAGACAAAACGAGAUAUAUCCACACAGUGAAGUUCUACUUGGCAACAAAAAAGGAAUAAACUACUGACACAUGCUACAUCAUGGACAGACUUCAAAAAUGUCAUGCUAAGUGAAAGAGACAGUCAUAGGAGACCAUACACUGUAUGAUUUCAUUUAUAUGAAAUGUCCAGAAAAGGCACAUUUAUAGAGACAGAAGGCAGAUUAAUGGUUGCCUGGGGUGGGGAAUCGGAGUGGGGAUUAACGAUAAAUGGGCAUCAGGGGUCUUACUGCAGGGAGGAAAAUGUCCUAAAACUGAUUUAUGAUGAUGGUUGCACCACUUGGUAAAGUUACUAAAAGUUGUUUGAACUGCACACCUGAAAUUGCAUUUUUCUUUUUCUUUUAUUGUGGUAAAAUAUACAUAAAGUUUGUUAUUUUAAUCUUUUUUAGGU